CGGGAUACCUCAGCCUACGCUCAUGGGUCUGGCCUGAGCUCAGAGAGGUGGAGGAAGCACAGAUUAGGAAACAUGGCUGAAACAUUUUAAGGCCGUCCGGCACACUGACCCUAUUUAUAUACUGGGUGAAUGACACAUGCAUUGUUUGCAGAGAAGGCCUAGCAGCCAGUGACUGAUGUGGAUUCCAUGAAGUCCUGAGCAUAGCCAAGGAUCGAUGGUAUGCCUCCAUGGGCUCUCUGUCAAGGCUGUCACCCACAGCAACAAGAAGUACCAGGUGGUCACUUGAAGCAACCUCAUUUUACAUGCACCCAUGUGGGGACCCCACUGUGAGACUCUGGGCAGGGAGCAGAUCCCUUACUGAAAGGAGCUGCUGGUGGAUUCCAUAAGGUCCCAGGGGACAUCUAUUGUUUUUGCCACCAGCAGCCAUUCCUUCACCCUUUUCUUGGCAGUAAUGCCCUGAAGCAAUGUCCAGCUUUUUUUUCUUUUAGACAGAGUCUAGCUCUGUCGCCCGGGCUGGAGGGCAGUGGCGUGAUCUCGGCUCACUGCAACCUCCGCCUCCGGGGUUCAAGCCAUUCACCUGCUUCAGCCUCCCGAGUAGCUGGGAUUACAGGCGUGAGCCACCAGGCCAUAGCUUUCCUUCUGAACUUCCCCCCUCCCACACUCAGACAAGCCCCAAGGCAGAACAUGUGACUUGGUCCUGGCCAAUCAGUGGCCUGAGGUGCCCUGGCUGCAUUGGUUGGUUCACAGUUGGCACAUGACCUAAGUCAUCCAAUCAGAAGGAGUUCUGGGAUUUUUUUUUUUUUUUUUUUUUUUUUUGCGGGGGUUGCCGGAAAGGGAAGAAACAUUUGGUUUUGUCCCUCAGGGAUUUGAACUUAAGAGGCUGAGAAGAUGAGGCUGCAGACUACUCAGUGAGAAGCAGAACUGAGCCAAGAGGCAGAGGAACCUCAAUUCUGAUGACAUUGCUUGAGUGCUUCAGUCCAGCCACGCGGAGUAUUCAGUUACACAAGCCAGUAAAUUUCCUCCCGGUUUAGGCUAGUUCAGGAUGGGUUUUCUGUCAUCCGUAACUGAAAGACUCCCAACUAAUAAACAGGGAGAAUGCAGGGCUUCAGGCUUCAGUCUCCAGGGCCAACUAGGCCUCCAUGAACAAAGACAGCUUGCUGGUGGGGGACAGAGGUGUGGGGAUGCCUUUUCUGGUGUGGUUUCCAGAUUGGGAGGAAUACAGAGAGGUGAGUCAGCCUCAGAAGAGGCUGUGAUCUCAUGGUCAGUCUCUCAGCAGGAUCUGAGUCCUGCCUGAACCAUUCCAGCCAGGUGGGGGGAUGGCUCGAGUCAUCUGAGCUGCCCACCUGGCGUCCUCUGUGUGAAGCUUCUAAUCCCCUCUUCUCCAGCCCACAGUGAUCUCUGGCCCGCUGACCUCCCAGUGCUCCCAUCG
rnacentral:lncRNA from 1 species